rnacentral:piRNA from 1 species
UGCUCCCAGCUCCAGCGUGCCUUCCU